rnacentral:rRNA from 1 species
GACGAACGCUGGCGGCGUGCUUAACACAUGCAAGUCGAACGGAAAGGCCCUGCUUUUGUGGGGUGCUCGAGUGGCGAACGGGUGAGUAACACGUGAGUAACCUGCCCUUGACUUUGGGAUAACUUCAGGAAACUGGGGCUAAUACCGGAUAGGAGCUCCUGCUGCAUGGUGGGGGUUGGAAAGUUUCGGCGGUUGGGGAUGGACUCGCGGCUUAUCAGCUUGUUGGUGGGGUAGUGGCUUACCAAGGCUUUGACGGGUAGCCGGCCUGAGCGGGUGACCGGCCACAUUAGGACUGAGAUACGGCGCAGACUCCAACGGGAGGCAGCAGUGGAGAAUAUUGCACAAUGAGCGGAAGCCUGAUGCGGCAACGCCGCGUGCGGGAUGACGGCCUUCGGGUUGUGAACCGCUUUCGCCUGUGACGAAGCGUGAGUGACGGUAAUGGGUAAAGAAGCACCGGCUAACUACGUG